UGGGGAAUAUUGGGCAAUGGGCGCAAGCCUGACCCAGCAACGCCGCGUGAGGGAAGAAUGUCUUCGGAUUGUAAACCUCUGUCCUUGGGGACGAAAAAAAUGACGGUACCCAAGGAGGAAGCUCCGGCUAACUACGUGCCAGCAGCCGCGGUAAUACGUAGGGAGCAAGCGUUGUCCGGAAUUACUUGGCGUAAAGGGUGCGUAGGCGGUCAGGCAAGUCAGAUGUGAAAUCCCCGGGCUUAACUCGGGUGGUGCAUUUGAAACUGCUUGACUUGAGUGCAGGAGAGGAAAGCGGAAUUCCUAGUGUAGCGGUGAAAUGCGUAGAUAUUAGGAGGAACACCAGUGGCGAAGGCGGCUUUCUGGACUAUAACUGACGCUGAGGCACGAAAGCGUGGGGAGCAAACA
rnacentral:rRNA from 1 species